UACGGAGGGUGCAAGCGUCGUCCGGAUUUAUUGGGUUUAAAGGGUGCGUAGGCGGGUGAUUAAGUCAGUGGUGAAAGCCCACAGCUCAACUGUGGAACUGCCAUUGAUACUGGUUAUCUUGAGUGUAGAUGAGGCAGGCGGAAUUUACGAUGUAGCGGUGAAAUGCAUAGAUAUCGUAAAGAACACCGAUAGCGAAGGCAGCUUGCUAAACUACUACUGACGCUGAGGCACGAAUGCAUGGGUAGCGAACAGG
rnacentral:misc_RNA from 1 species